rnacentral:lncRNA from 1 species
GGCCAUUCAGGCCUGCUUUCUAUAUGGAAGUCACAGUUAUAUCAAAUUCACAUGUCUUCCUGCUUUGAUUGUUGAAGAACCUCGAUGUUUGAAUGUCAUAGAUGUCAGUGCCUUGAUAGCAUUACCAGGAUUAUUGGGAGCCUGAAUAAUAUGCACCUCAAGGCUCCUUGCUGGAAACAGAUCUUAGAGCUCUUUCUCUGAACAGUUGGCAAGAGUUGCUCUUUGCAUCGGAUUCUGCAGUGUGGUAUUCAGCUGGCAUGAUUAUCUGUAUUCUGGAACAGCCAUUUUCAGUGGGUUCUAUUGCUUCAUGGAAGUAAAAAUGGAUUUUGGAAAAUCCAUCUAUAUACCAUCUAUAGACCAUCUGAGAAUAUGUAUCCAGACCCUCUUUUGACUUGGACUUCCAUCCAAUUUGAAGUUCGGAAUUUGUGGGUAAUUGGUAGUUUUAUCCAGCAGGUUCACAUUUGGGUCCUCAUGGCACAACAACGAAUAUGCUAUCAUACUAGUUAUAUUAGCCACCACCACUAUCCUUUGUGUCUUAUUCUGUAUAAGCUGAUGUAUGAGAAUACUAUAGACUGGGUGACUUAAACAUUGAAAAUUUAUUUCUAACAGUUCUGAAGCCUGGGAAUUCCAUGGUCAAGGUACUAGCUGAUUUGGUUCCUGGGAAAGUUUGCAGAUGAACUGUUACCUGCUGUAUACUUAUAUGGCAGAGAGAAAGACAGAGUGCACUCUAGAGUCUCUUGUGAGGACACUGAUCCCAUCCUGAGGGAUCUACUCCGGUGAUCUAAUCACCUCCCAAAGACCAAACUUUCUAAUACCAUAAUAGUGAAAGUAAGGAUGUCAGCAUAUGAAUUUUGAAGGGUCACAAACAGUUGAUCCAUAACACUCCCAGUAUACAGUAGUAGAACAGGAAUUGGAUAAUAAAGUCAGGGAAAAUAAUAAACAUAAAAUAAUCACUGGUCUAUAAUAGUGAUCAUAUUACCUUUAACAAUAAUUGUGAAACCUCCUUGCUCCAAAGCAAAGAAAAUUCCUUGGUUAGCCACCCUGGCAGCUUUUCUGGGAGGAGCUUUCAGUCCACUGACCUUCAUAGCCCCUGGCUCUGUCUUCUUAUGGUCUUCUUUAGUUAUUUUCUUCCAAAGCCAAAGCUGAGGUAUCAUUGAAAAGUACAACCUCCUUGGGGACUCAGAGCAUUUGUAGUUCAC